rnacentral:rRNA from 1 species
AGUAACGCGUGAGGAACCUGCCUCAAAGAGGGGGACAACAGUUGGAAACGACUGCUAAUACCGCAUAAGCCCACAGCUCGGCAUCGAGCAGAGGGAAAAGGAGUGAUCCGCUUUGAGAUGGCCUCGCGUCCGAUUAGCUAGUUGGUGAGGUAAUGGCCCACCAAGGCGACGAUCGGUAGCCGGACUGAGAGGUUGAACGGCCACAUUGGGACUGAGACACGGACCAA